rnacentral:misc_RNA from 1 species
AUCGCGAAGCUUUGCAGCCCCCAGGCCGCGCGAGACGUUGCGAGGAGGUCCACUUAAAAACUGCCCUCCUCGGCGCCGCCGACCGGGCUCGGGGUGCCCCAGUCGCUCGCCGGCGCAGCCCCAGCAGGCGCGGCCCCUGCAGGGGCGGCUGCCGCCGCGGGCGCGGCACCGGUGCGCUGCGACUUCGUGAUCGCCGCGGUCGCCCAACGCAGGGACGGACCGACCUCGUCGAC